CACGAACCGUACGAACGUUAUUCGGAAUUACUGGGCUUAAAGGGUUUGUAGGCGGCCAUGUAAGUCAGGUGUGAAAUCCCUCGGCUCAACCGAGGAACGGCGCUUGAUACUGCAUGGCUUGAGGGAGACAGGGGUAAGCGGAACUGAUGGUGGAGCGGUGAAAUGCGUUGAUAUCAUCAGGAACACCGGUGGCGAAAGCGGCUUACUGGGUCUCUUCUGACGCUGAGGAACGAAAGCUAGGGUAGCGAACAGG
rnacentral:rRNA from 1 species